AGAAUAAUAUUUCCUCACUUUUUUAUUAUUAUCUUGAAACAUGGACAGUACAUAAGAACAAUUUAUUUCAUUAAUUUCCUCACAGCUAAGCUCCUGAGAAAACAAACGCUUGUUCCAAGUAAAUUUGUCAACUUUCAAGUACAAUCACAGACGUGGGCCUUGCACUUGCAAUCGCAUUCUGGGCAUACCACUUUACAAUCAGCGUCAAUUGUGCAUUGAACACUAUCUGUCUUGGCCUCAUUCGUUAUUUCCCUUGCUUCUGUUCCAUGUCCUAAACCUGUACGUACAUUACAUAAACAUACGAGCAUCAAUAUUCACAUUAAAAAAAAAAAAAAAAAAAACUAAAGAUAAAGUAGUCACAAAAAUAAUGUGCAACUCGAUCGGGUUUAAGCAUUACCCGGUUGAGUAUAUACUCAAUGCAUUUUGUCAGCUUUUUAGUCUCUUUAUCAUUUUUUGUUUACAUAUGUAAUGUUAGCUUCACGGAUUUGGAAACUAAAAGCAAUAUGGUGUUGAUUUAACACACCUAAAUCACAAAGAAACGUAAGCAAAUCAGAGAUUCUUACAUGAAGCAGUAACAAUUAGGGCCACCAAGAAAGUUAACUUUAGCAAAGAUUUCUCCAUUGUCUCGAGAGAUAAAAUUACCUAUGAAUUUUAAUGUGAUUGUAAAA
rnacentral:lncRNA from 1 species